AUUAAAGAGUUCUAUAACUCCCAAACCCAUGUGAACAUACCUAACGUUGCCUCGGCAGGUCGCACCUACCUUGUAGCACCCUACCCUGUAGGGCCUACCCGGGAGAUGCGGGUAAGCCUGCCGGCGGCCCACCAAACUCUGUUUGAUAUUGAAUUCUGAACAUAUAACUAAAUAAGUUAAAACUUUCAACAACGGAUCUCUUGGUUCUGGCAUCGAUGAAGAACGCAGCGAAAUGCGAUAAGUAAUGUGAAUUGCAGAAUUCAGUGAAUCAUCGAAUCUUUGAACGCAUAUUGCGCCCAUUAGUAUUCUAGUGGGCAGGACCGUUCGAGCGUCAUUUCGACCCUUAAGCCUUAGUUGCUUAGUGUUGGGAGCCUACGGCAACGUAGCUCCUCAAAGUUAGUGGCGGAGUUGGUUCACACUCUAGACGUAGUAAUUUUUUAUCUCGCCUAUUAGUUGGACUGAUCCCCUGCCGUAAAACCCCCAACUUAUCAAGGUUGACCUCGAAUCGGUUCAGACAAACUCGCUAAAUUGAAGCAUCUUAGUCAGCGAAGGAAAAGAAACCAACAGGGAUUGCCCUAGUAACGGCGAGUGAAGCG
rnacentral:rRNA from 1 species